AGAUGCUUUCAGGCCGCAUAUCCUGCAGCCUCCGAGGAAACGGGGGUCGGACUGUCCCUUAGUAGCUUUUGGUCCUUUGGAACUAGGGUGAUCGAUGGCCGGUGCUCAUUGUUCUACAGAAAACCAGCCCCUUUGGUUUGCCUGGGAACAGUGAGGUAUGGCUGCGUCAGGAUCGCAGAAAAAGUAGAGUGGGCCGUUGCCAUCCAGAUUGUGGUCCCGCAGUGCCUGUCAUUCCCACCGGCACAGUCACCUCUUUCUGUUGGGAUGCUAUCUCCAGAAAGCACAUGUAGGAAUACCCACAGCGGGCCUGGUCACCUCGCUAUUGGUUGGGAAACUGCUGAGGGACAGAAGAAAGGAAGCUCUCUCUGGUGGCAGGCAGGAAAGGUCUAGCUGGAGUUUGCAGACACAGGUCUGCAGGGGAGAGAAAGCACAACUGCGUGAACCUGGUCGGGUGGAAGACAAUGGGGGGUGAUCAGUAACGUUGCAAAUUGGAGUGUCCGCGCUGUAACUGAAGGGAGCAGCUGUUCAGCGCUGGCAGAAUGUUGCCCUUAGGAAUGUGGGUCCUGUGUUCUGAGAUAUUUAUUCUAUGUUUUUGUUUUUGUUUUUUUCUCUAAGAGAAACCCUAAAGCUGGAUUUUUGUGUGAAGGCCAAACUGAAACCAUCCUGGGGCAGAUGUGGCCAACAUGCAAUCAAUUUGCAAUUUCAAACCUGAACAGGGUUUUCUAUAUCCCUAAGAGUGGUAGAGGCUCGGAAUUAAGAGGGAGCCUGAGGUCUCUGGGUAUCAUGGAGGGGAGUAAAGAGUGUUAACAGCAAACACACACAGUGUGUGGCAGCUUUUAUCAGAUGAAUGAUGCCUCUCCGUCCAGACUAUUACUAUGAAAGACCUUUGUCACUGGUCUUUAAAAUGCUGUGUGCCAGGACAUAGGAAUACAGAAGCACAAAGAUGAAUAAAAACUAUUCAGAAAUAACUACUGCCUUGCUCCAAUCUUAGAGGAACUCUCAUAGAGUGGAGACAUGUAAAGAGACAACACCAGAAUGUGACUAUGCAUCUGUGACUGUUAAUAAUGGGGAGAGGUGACAAGAAAAACAAGUUUGGGGCCUUAGAUAAUUAAAAAUUAUUUUUUAAUAU